rnacentral:rRNA from 1 species
UACGGAGGAAGCAAGCGUUAUCCGGAAUUACUGGGCGUAAAGAGUUGCGUAGGUGGCAAAGUGUGUCAGUAGUGAAAGCGUGUGGCUCAACCAUAUAUACAUUACUGAAACUGCUUAGCUUGAGGACGAGAGAGGUUAUUGGAAUUCCCAGUGUAGGAGUGAAAUCCGUAGAUAUUGGGAGGAACACCGAUGGCGUAGGCAGAUAACUGGCUCGUUCCUGACACUAAGGCACGAAAGCGUGGGGAGCAAACGGG